rnacentral:rRNA from 1 species
CCUACGGGAGGCAGCAGUGAGGAAUAUUGCACAAUGGGGGCAACCCUGAUCCAGCCACGCCGCGUGAGUGAAGAAGUAUCUCGGUAUGUAAAGCUCUAUCGGCCGGGAAGAAAAUGACGGUACCUGACUCAGAAGCCCCGGCAAACUACGUGCCAGCAGCCGCGGUAAUACGUAGGGUGCAAGCGUUGUUCGGAUUUACUGGGGGUAAAGGGAGCGUAGGCGGGUAUGCAAGACCGGAGUGAAAGGCCAGGGCUCAACCAUGGUACUGCUCUGGAAACUGUGGAGCUUGAGUGCUGGAGGGGAAGGCGGAAUACCUAGUGUAGAGGUGAAAUGCGUAGAUAUUAGGCAGAACACCGGUGGCGAAGGCGGCAUGCUGGCCAGUAACUGACGUUGAGGCUCGAAAGCGUGGGGAUCAAACAGGAUUAGAUACCCUUGUAGUC